rnacentral:rRNA from 1 species
AACGAACGCUGGCGGCAGGCUUAACACAUGCAAGUCGAGCGCCACGCAAGGGGAGCGGCAGACGGGUGAGUAACGCGUGGGAAUCUACCAAUCUCUACGGAAUAACGCAUGGAAAAGUGUGCUCAUACCGGAGACGUCCUUCGGGAGAAAGAUCUAUCGGAGAUGGAUGAGACCGCGUUGGAUUAGCUAGUUGGUGGGGUAAAGGCGUACCAGGGCGAAGAUCCAUAGCUGGUCUGAGAGGAUGAUCAGCCACACUGUGACGGCGACACGAACCAGACUCCUACGGGAGUCAGCAGUGGGGAAUAUUGGACAAUGGGCGCAAGCCUGAUGCAGCCAUGCCGCGUGAGUGAUGAAGGCCCUAGGGUUGUAAAGCUCUUUCACCGGUGAAGAUAAUGACGGUAACCGGAGAAGAAGCCCCGGCUAACUUCGUGCCAGCAGCCGCCGUAAGAC